UGGGGAAUAUUGGACAAUGGGCGCAAGCCUGAUCCAGCCAUGCCGCGUGAGUGAUGACGGCCUUAGGGUUGUAAAGCUCUUUCGACGGGGACGAUAAUGACGGUACCCGUAGAAGAAGCCCCGGCUAACUUCGUGCCAGCAGCCGCGGUAAUACGAAGGGGGCAAGCGUUGUUCGGAAUCACUGGGCGUAAAGGGCGCGUAGGCGGACAUUUAAGUCAGGGGUGAAAUCCCGGGGCUCAACCCCGGAACUGCCCUUGAUACUGGGUGUCUUGAGACCGGAAGAGGUAAGUGGAACUGCGAGUGUAGAGGUGAAAUUCGUAGAUAUUCGCAAGAACACCAGUGGCGAAGGCGGCUUACUGGUCCGGAUCUGACGCUGAGGCGCGAAAGCGUGGGGAGCAAACAGG
rnacentral:rRNA from 2 species